rnacentral:ncRNA from 1 species
GGGCUUACGGUGGAUACCUAGGCACCCAGAGACGAGGAAGGGCGUAGCAAGCGACGAAAUGCUUCGGGGAGCUGAAAAUAAGUAUAGAUCCGGAGAUUCCCGAAUAGGUUAACCUUUGAAACUGCUGCUGAAUUCAUAGGCAGACAAGAGACAACCUGGCGAACUGAAACAUCUUAGUAGCCAGAGGAAAAGAAAGCAAAAGCGAUUCUCGUAGUAGCGGCGAGCGAAAUGGGAACAGCCUAAACCGUGAAAACGGGGUUGUGGGGGAGCUAAAUAAGUGUUGUGUUGCUAGGCGAAGCAGUUGAGUCCUGCACCCUAGAUGGUGAAAGUCCAGUAACCGAAAGCAGCACUAGCUUAGGCUCUAACCCGAGUAGCAUGGGGCACGUGGAAUCCCGUGUGAAUCAGCAAGGACCACCUUGUAAGGCUAAAUACUCCUGGGUGACCGAUAGCGAAGUAGUACCGUGAGGGAAAGGUGAAAAGAACCCCCAUCGGGGAGUGAAAUAGAACAUGAAACCGUAAGCUC